UGUUGAUUAGUUUGUCUGAAGUAACAUCGCAGUGAGACUGAUUUCUAACAGAUCUUUCUCUACUGUUACUAUAAUAGCAUUUCAAUUAGCACUAUGAUAAUGUCAUAUAAACAACUGACCAGUAGAUUAUUCUUUUCUGGCAUAAGGUGUUAUGUACCACAAUAAUGUAAAAUGCUGUUUCAUUUAUAUUUCCUUUACAUAGUUGUUUUCCAUUAACUUUCAUUGUAACAUCCCACACAAUUCCUGUACUGUAAUGUCUGCUAUAAUGUUUUUAAAGUGAGAUUCCAGACCAUAGUAAAGACUAUGUAGAACAUUAUUUGACUGGAGAAACUGAAGUAUUACCAUUUUACAGAAAAACAGGUACCGGUACAUGUCUUAUAAGUAUAUAUAUUGUGGUGACAAAUUAAAUUUAUUUUACCUUGAUUACAUAUUUGUGCAGCUUGAGGGAGUUGUGUAAUGAAAUUGCUCUGUUCACACCAGUUUAAAAUGUCUCAGCUGAGUCACUGCUGAGAAUUUAAAGGACUCUUUUUAAAUGGAAACUUGAUGCUAUCUGACCACACUUGUGAAGGAGCUUGUUGGUUAAUUUUAAUCUAAUUUUUUCUUAUAAGGAUCCUCAACAUAUCAAGUGCCACUGUCCAUAUUUAAGGAAGACCAAAUUGACUUCUUGAUGGAGCUGUUGAUGGAAGUUUAUUGCAAGAAAAAUCCAGUGAAAACUAUUGACUACAUUCUGAAAGUCUUGCUUCCAAUGACAUUAAUCAAAGUUCACAUGGAAAUUACAGGAAAAAGCUAUGAAGAAAGUGAUAAGAUUAUGUAUGAUCACAUGUUAGAUGUUCCGUCUAACAACGAUGCCCAAAAUUGAGAACUUUUAGAACUAUGUGAUUGUUUCAAAGUACUUCAGAGUCAUAUCAUUGUUUUAAGAUAUUUCAACGGUCAGGUUUAGUUGAAAAGGAUUUGUUACUUUAUUUGUAAUUGAAAUUUUGUUAUUGAUGAAAAAGAGAGAAUCAUUUUGAUUAUUUCAAUUAUUUAUCAUUAUGUUUUACUUUGAAGAUACAGUGUAGCAAAUUUAAAGGCCUUAAGUCUUCUGUUUCAGUCAUGAUAUAAAGAUAAUACCAGUACACAAGUGAUUAAAAAUAAACAGUAAAAAUGUUGAAAUUUUAUUUUAUUUCGUAUGUUCUGCAAGAAGUCAGAUAAUUUUUAUUUAAUCAAAUUGGAUUUGGAAUCUUCUUUUAAGGAACAAUAUUUUUAAUAUAUGUAGUCAGCUUGUGGAAAAUAAAUUUAAUAUAGUUAAAGGUUUUAUAAGUUUAUAUAAAACAUUUCAUGCUAUUAAGUUAUUCAAUGAUUUUAUAACAAACAUCUGAAUACUCUGAGUAAAAUUGUAAGUUGUUAUAGUAAUACACUAUUAUUUGAUAUAAACAGUAAUGUUAAAAUAGCAAGGUACUUUAGAAUUAUAUCAUUGUUUCAAAAUAUAGUAACUCUUAGUUUUAGAACUGUCAUUGUUUCAAGAUAUUACAACUGUCAGUUUUAGAAUUAUGUUAUUGUUUCAUGUUAUUUCAACUGUCAGGUUUAGUUGAAAAGGAUUUGUUACUUUAUUUGUAAUUGAAAUUUUGUUAUUGACGAAAAAGAGAGAAUCAUUUUGAUUAUUUCAAUUAUUUAUCAUUAUGUUUUACUUUGAAGAUACAAUGUAGCAAAUUUAAAGGUCUUAAAUCUUCUGUUUUAGUCAUGAUAUAAAGAUAAUACCAGUACACAAGUGAUUAAAAAUAAACAGUAAAAAUAUUGAUAUUUUAUUUUAUUUCGUAUGUUCUGCAAAAAGUCAGAUAAUUCUUAUUUUAUCAAAUUGGAUUUGGAUAUUUGUUUUAAUAUAUGUAAUCAGUAUGAGGAAAAUAAAGUUGAUAUAGUUAAAUAUUUUA